UGUGUUGUGUUGUGUUGUGCAGUCUGAAUGCUCAGUGCUGGGCUACCUGACGUCUGCAGCAGUGCCUGCGGAGCUGCCUCUGCACCUCUGGGGACUGCUGACCUGUGCUUGCAAAGCCGAGUCGUUCCUUGUACAGGGACUCUAAUUCAGAAAGGUGUUGGUGAGACCCAAAUCGUACGGUGGAUCGUAGCGUGUUUUUACCAUCCCUCACUGGAGCGGAGCAGUCGCAACGGGACGCACUGCUGAUCGAUACGUUCAGAGGAUCUGGUGACCCUCGCUGUGGCCAUGCCCAAGCCACCCGCUUUGCAGACAGAGAUGAUCUUGGCCUUCAGGAAGCUCUAUCAGCAGGACUAAGAUGGAAUAGGAGUUGGAAAGCCUAUAGUCAUCAUGGGAAUGGAGACACUGCUUUGUUGGAAAAAAGACCACAUUACAUAGUUCAUCUGGACAAUCACAGCCACUUGCAGCAGCAUUGCCUGUGCUGCAUUUGCUCUUCAGUGAACUGGAGCUGCUUGUCAUCCAGGAGGUCAUCCUGUAGCUCACAGAACUCAAGAACCCAGUGAGGAGACAGCAACUGACUUGAGAAGAGCUACAUUGGAUAUUAAAUGUUCCUAAAAUCACAGAAUGGCUGAAGUUGGAAGGUGAUCUCUUGAGAUUAUCUGGUCCAACUUGCACUUAAGGGAUACCCAGAACAGUGGGCCCAGGAACUUGUCCACAUGGCCUUUGAAUAUCACCUUUUUGGCCAUGUGGAUGCAUUGAUGUCUCACGUUCAACUCGAUGGUCACCAGGAUCCAUGGGAGCAUCCUACCAGGAUUCAUAGACUUGUCAUCCUGUGCUAACAGCAAUGCUUCCUUGUAUCUGAAGGUGAGCAGUGUUGAAAUGUACUCUGUGGAAGACAAAACCCUCUGGAGCCUGGGGACUACAGCAGCUCUGGGAGAAGGAGGCACUGUGUUGAAUCAGGACGUUGCACAAGAGCCAGCUUCAAACCGUUUAGGGUAUUUGGAUGUGCAACAUUAAUAUCCCACUCAUGCUCUGCUUUGAUUGCUGAUUGCUUCUAUUUAUAAUCAGAUAUCAUCAGAGUUCCUUCACUUCUUCCUCUCAAAUAGACUGCACCUCCUUCUCAUCCUCCUCCACCUCUCCUUCCCCCCUGCUGAGACCCACCAUGGAGCCACUUCUACAUUUUGCUUGCAAUAAAGUAAAAGGUUAUGUGGUUCCAUUCUAACUCCUUGGUCAUAGCUAUGUAAAAAGCCUCAAAUGAGGACAUCAAGGAGAAGCAGAGCAAAACUUCCAUGAGUACCAGAUGCACAGGGUAGUACACCUCACAGAGGCCAAGAAGAAAGAAAACCUUUGAUUAAAUUACUUGGAUUGUAUCCCCCAAAAUUUAUUACCCAUUGUUUCAUUUAAAAUCAGAGAGAAAGCUCUUAGGAGUGUAUUUUAGAAAGCAACUCAUUAUCUUGCACAUGGUAUAGCUUCAGUCUGCCAAUAGAAAGUGGAGAUUUUG
ensembl:lncRNA